UCCAAUGACCCGUAUCUAAAUUCCCUAAUGAGGAAGUAAACUUUCCUACCUUCAGAGCGAAUGAAGCUGGAAGCACAAAUUGAAUUUGCUGUUCACACAGUACAAGAUAUUCAGUUGAAAAGCGAAAUUGUACCCAGCAUAGUAGUCUGGAUGCGCAUCUUUACAAACUGUGCUUUAGACUUGACAGUUGACACGCCAUUUCAAAACAAGGCUCUAAUGUCACGAGACGCCGAACUGCAACAGCGACGCCAAACAGGGAUACGUGAGACGUUUUGGCAAGGCUGGAGGACUCGAAGAAGCGCAAGGCUGCUGCGCAGAAGGGGACGCUCGCCGAGCUACUGCCACGGUCACUUCAGCCAGGGCGACAGCCAAGGAACUUGUCAAAGCAGCAGUUUGAAAAGGUGUUUGAUAUGCUGAAAAACAGCGAAUGGGUGCCGUCAGAAUGGGAGUCCAAACAGCUGAUAAAAACACAAUAAUCCACAAAUAAUC
rnacentral:lncRNA from 1 species